rnacentral:sRNA from 1 species
UUUACCCAAUAGAUUUCAAGGUGUAGGAAGGCGGUGAGCGAGAGCAACCAACACACCUACAGCUUGAAAGAUGAAGGGUUGUUGCCGUGGAAACUUUUGGCCCAUCUCCGGAUGGGCUUUUUU